CGUUCUUGGAAAAGUCUCCGAAUUGCACCGAGGUUUUGGCUACCCCCCAUUGUCAGAUGACCCGAGCGCGUCCCCGAAGUCGGAAUCGGCAAAGGAAAACCCGAACCUUGUUUUUACGUAAUUUUCUAGUGCUUAAAUAGGAUUAAAAAUCCAUAAAAUAUUCGUGGUAGCUUAGAAAAUUAUGAUUCUUUUUGAAAUCGCUUAGUAAUAUUGCUAAGGACCGCGGGGCAAAGUUUUAGAAUUUUUAGAGCUGAUUUGGGCAGUUUUUGCAAAAAUGGUCAAUUAUAGGGACUAAAUUGAAAUUUUACAUGUUGUGAUGGAUGAUUGAUUUGGUGGGCCCAGGAGGGGCUGUGUGAUGUGAUUGAGUUGUGGACAUAUGGAUUGUGAAUAUAGAAGUGUGUUUUGAGCCUUUUUGCAGGUUGGGUAGGUCCUAAGUAUAGGGGAGACUCUGCCGGAUUUUCGGCACGACUUAGGACAUAUUGGUCUUUUUCUUUGUUUGUAUUGAGUCAAAUUUAUUAAAUGAUUGUAAUAAAAUUGUCAAGUGAGCCGGGACAGCCUUCUUCCUCCGCCCAGCCGCCUCAGUGACCAUUGUCAAGUCUGCCACAGGAGGAUAUUUUUGAGGUUAACCUGCUUCCUUUCCUCGCAGGUUGUUUAUCAAUAUUUGUGUAAUUUUAUUUACUCAUAGAAUUUCCGCAUGUGUUAGAAAUGUUUAUUUGAUUUGGGUCUGUAAACUAAAUUAUUAUUGUGUACCUGUAAAAUUAUUAUAUGCAUGUUUGAUGGACUGGAUGAGGGAGCUGAGCUCCCAUUUAUCAUUAUGAUGAUAUGAGUAUGUGGAGGGUGAGCUGAGCUCCCCAAUGGAUUGUUUAUUGUGUUUAUAGGUCGGGUGAGUCAAAAACUCCCCGUUGGUAGGUCCAUUUUAUGGCCGGACUCUGUCCGGUUGGUUUCUUGAAAUUGGGCCCAAAUGGGCCUUAGAGUUGGGUUAAUGAACAGUUAGGCUUACUACGGGCCUCGGGGGCUUUAGGCUGGCCCAGGUCCUAGUGCCGGUCCGGCCCAUAGGUUGGGUCGUGACAAGUCCUCCGUUAAUUUUUUUUAUUAGUCAAUAUUAGUCAAAUUAUUAUUUAAUUUAUCUAUUUUAGUGAAA